rnacentral:misc_RNA from 1 species
GCAAACUUGGUCAUUUAGAGGAAGUAAAAGUCGUAACAAGGUUUCCGUAGGUGAACCUGCGGAAGGAUCAUUACCGAGUGUAGCCCCCCUGUAAAAAGAGGGGCACCUCCCGUCCUUUGCUAGACCCUUCGGGGGCUUCAAACCAUUGCUUCGGCGGGGUUACCCGCCGGAACACCCUCAAAAUUCUUUUGAACCGUUCAGUCCGAGGCUUCAAAAAAUAAGCGAAAACUUUCAACAACGGAUCUCUUGGUUCUGGCAUCGAUGAAGAACGCAGC